rnacentral:lncRNA from 1 species
UAAAAGUUUAGGGGAAAAAUAAAAAGUUUUGGGGAACAAAAGUUUGAGGGAAAGUAAAUAGGGGGAGUAAAAUUUUGGAGGGAAAAUAUUAAAAAAAAAUUGCAGGGGGGAGGGUUUGGGAUAGAUGGGAGGUGAGAUGGGAAGGGAAUAAAAGUUUUAGGGGAAAAGUGGGAGGAAGUAAAAAUUUUGGGGGAAAAUGAAAGGUUUUGAGGGUUUUUGGGAGUAAAAUUUUGAGAAAAAAUAAAUGGGAGAGUAAAAUUUUGGUGGGAAAUGGAUUUUGGGUAGAUUGGGGGGUUGGGAGGGGAGGGGAGGGGAGUAAAAGUUUUGGAGGGAAAGUGGGAAGGAGUAAAAGUUUUGAGGGAAAAGUAAAAAGGUUUGGGAGUUUGGGGUAAAAAUGUAAAAUAUUAUAGUUUGAUAUUCGAAUUAUUCGAAUUAUUCGAGUUAUUCGAAUUUGAAAACUCAACUCGAUUCGAACUCGAAAUUUGAAAAAAAAAAUUCAAG